UACGGAAGGCAGCAGUGGGGAAUAUUGCACAAUGGGCGAAAGCCUGAUGCAGCUAUGCCGCGUGUAUGAAGAAGGCCUUAGGGUUGUAAAGUACUUUCAUCGGGGAGGAAAAACAAAACUAAUAAUUUUAUUUCUUGACGUUACCCGAAAAAGAAGCACCGGCUAACUCCGUGCCAGCAGCCGCGGUAAUACGGAGGGUGCUAGCGUUAAUCAGAAUUACUGGGCGUAAAGAGCACGUAGGUGGUUUUUUUAAAGUCAGAUGUGAAUCCCUGGGCUUAACCUAGGAACUGCAUUUUUGAAACUGAAAUACUAGAGUAUCGUAGAGGGAGGUAGAAUUCUAGGUGUAGCGGUGAAAUGCGUAGAUAUCUGGAGGAAUACCUGUGGCGAAAGCGGCCUCCUAAACGAAUACUGACACUGAGGUGCGAAAGCGUGGGGAGCAAACAGGGAUUAGGAUA
rnacentral:rRNA from 1 species